rnacentral:rRNA from 1 species
UAAUACGGAGGGUGCAAGCGUUGUUCGGAAUCACUGGGCGUAAAGGGCGUGUAGGCGGUCCGCUAAGUCUGAUGUGAAAGCCCGAGGCUUACCCUCGGAAGUGCAUUGGAGACUGGCGGACUGGAGUCCCGGAGAGGAGGGUGGAAUUCCUGGUGUAGCGGUGAAAUGCGUAGAUAUCAGGAGGAACACCGGUGGCGAAGGCGGCCCUCUGGACGGUGACUGACGCUGAGACGCGAAAGCGUGGGGAGCAAACAGGAUUAGAUACCCUGGUAGUCCACGCUGUAAACGAUGAGCACUAGGUGUCGCGGGUAUUGACCCCUGCGGUGCCGACGCUAACGCAUUAAGUGCUCCGCCUGGGGAGUACGGUCGCAAGAUUA